GGGGAAUAUUGGACAAUGGGCGCAAGCCUGAUCCAGCAAUUCCGCGUGGGUGAAGAAGGUCUUCGGAUUGUAAAGCCCUUUCGACGGGGACGAUGAUGACGGUACCCGUAGAAGAAGCCCCGGCUAACUUCGUGCCAGCAGCCGCGGUAAUACGAAGGGGGCUAGCGUUGCUCGGAAUUACUGGGCGUAAAGGGCGCGUAGGCGGCUUAGUUAGUCAGGCGUGAAAUUCCUGGGCUCAACCUGGGGACUGCGCUUGAUACGGCUAGGCUAGAGGAUGGAAGAGGGUCGCGGAAUUCCCAGUGUAGAGGUGAAAUUCGUAGAUAUUGGGAAGAACACCGGUGGCGAAGGCGGCGACCUGGUCCAUUACUGACGCUGAGGCGCGACAGCGUGGGGAGCAAAC
rnacentral:rRNA from 1 species